rnacentral:rRNA from 1 species
UACGAGGGGGGGCAAGCGUUAAUCGGAAUUACUGGGCGUAAAGCGAGUGUAGGCGGUCUCCUAAGUCGGGUGUGAAAGCCCCCGGGCUCAACCUGGGAAUGGCAAUGGAUACUGGCAGGCUAGAGUGCGGUAGAGGGUAGUGGAAUUCCCGGUGUAGCGGUGAAAUGCGUAGAGAUCGGGAGGAACACCGAUAGCGAAGGCAGCUUACUGGGCUGUAACUGACGCUGAUGCACGAAAGUGUGGGGAUCAAACAGGGAUUAGAGU